ACCACGGUGAGUCCUUUCCGUCGACCACUCUGUGUCACCGCCGUAUGGAGCAUCUCAAUUCUAGGAUCUCAAGUCAUCACUCAACAAUGGGAGUCAUUCAAGUAACUGUUUUGGAACCAAUGGAAGCUAGCAAACAGCAUCAGGAUACUUUCCGGGGUUUAUCUUGUAUGCUCAUAACGAUUUACAUUUCAUUUUAUAAUUAAUAUGACAAUUAUAUGGGUUUGAAAGUUAUCAAAACAUGAUUUUAAUACUAAAAUCAAGUACGAUUAUAAAGCUAUUUUGAUUCAUAUGGAAUUCCCGUGUUUCUGAAUUCUAGACUAGAAGAACAAGUUACAAUUCAAACUCAGCCAUGCUUGAUAUUGUACGUAAUAUUUGUCAGGGUGUUGAAGAAGUAGAUAAAACUAAAGAAGGAUUUUACAUUAGGUCGGGCAUCACUGUAAUACUGAGUAAUGUAAUACAUUAGGUUGGGCAUCACUGUUAUACUGAGGAAUGCAAUACAUUAGGUUGGGCAUCACUGUUAUACUGAGGAAUGCAAUAUAUUAUAUGAAAGCACUUCAAAUUAACCGGUCGAUCUCUAGAGUUUAGAUAUAAACAUGGAGACUCAACAACAAGAAGCUGA